rnacentral:misc_RNA from 1 species
GAUGAAGAACGCAGCGAAAUGCGAUAAGUAAUGUGAAUUGCAGAAUUCAGUGAAUCAUCGAAUCUCUGAACGCACAUUGCGCCCCUUGGUAUUCCGGGGGGCAUGCCUGUUCGAGCGUCAUUAUAACCCUCAAGCCUAGCUUGGUGUUGGAGCAUGCUACCUAAGCAGCUCUUAAAAUCAGUGGCAGUGCCCUUCGGCUCUAAGCGUAGUAACUUCUCUCGCUAUGGAACCCGGAGGGUACGCGCCAGAACCCCCAACUUUCUAUGGUUGACCUCGGAUCAGGUAGGGAUACCCGCUGAACUUAAGCAUAUCAAUAAGCGGAGGA